GUGAAAAUCACUCGGAGCAGUGAGGCUACAUCAAAAUUAAAAUUGUCCCGUCCCGUCUUACGUUAAUCUUUGGAAAUUGCAUUUUCGACGUACAGUAUAAAAGAUUACAUAAGUAUUGAGUGAUGUUAUCCGAGAAAAAGGAUUCCAUUUGUGCGUGUAAACGUCCUGCCUCAAUUGGCACGUGCAUUACCGUCUAUUUAUUUUCCAUGUGCAAUUCGAUAGCUUUCGGCUUUAUAGAGCGAAUGUAUUGAACCUUCGUUUAUUCAAGAAGGAAAACUCGGCGCGGCGUGGCGCCUUUCCGACGACCUUUUUAGAAGUGCGACAAGAAAGACAAGCGAGAUGGAUGCGAUGACCCAAUUACGCCAGUGAAAGUAACACAUUGGUCAGUUAUGAUCUACGCCGCCGCCGCCGCCGCCACUGCCACCAUCGUGUUCACCCACACACGCGCGUGCACGCGUACGCGGGGAAUUACACCGCGCCGCGUCUUAAGUACUGAUUGAUAGCGGCGACUGAUAGCGAAAUUUAUCACUACAGCAACGAUUGCAGUAAUUACGAAUUAUGAAAGUGAACUUAAAAAAAUUAUUUUAUGGUGUAUGUUUAAUCUGAUAUUUUUUAAAUGAUAAAAAUUUAAGUUUUAAUAGAUAUUAUUACCUAUAUAUAAUAUAGAAUAUUUACACCAUUCACUAAGCCGACAUCACCGUUAUAGAAGAAGAAUGAAAAAGAAAAUUAUUUAUUGAGAAAUAACCUCGAUUUAUAAAAAUUUUCAAAUUUUUGAAAUAAUCCAUCAUGAGAUUAUACCUUCUGUUGAAAAAGAAAGUUAUGCGAGAACUUUAUAAAACGCUUUAUAAAACGCAGAUGUAAAAACAAGAAGCAAUUACACAGGAUUUUGGUAUAAAAAAACAUCAAAACAAGAGUAGUCAUUUCCUAUAGCUUCUUGGAUGCUGAAUACGAAUCUAUUGUUCAGAUUGCUCCAUUACGUUAUAAUUUUUUCUUUGUCAUUAAAAUUACAAAAAAUUGCUAUUUUUAGAUAUUUUCUUAUAUUAUAAUUAUGAUCCAGAGAAAAGUUUCAUUUCUAGUCAAAAAUAUUUAUUCAAGUCAAAGAAUUGUGCACUGCUAUAUAGUUAAAGAUAGGUUUGUUUGAUUUGAAAAAAAUCUUUCGGUUGUUCCUUUUAUUAGAAUUAAAGUAAUAAUUUGGUUGUACUACGCAAUUUUUUUCAAUAAAAGAAAUAUAUUUUUAAAACCAGA